rnacentral:tRNA from 1 species
GCGGGGGAUGCCGCGGCCGCGGGUCACGUUCUCGAGGAACGGGAUGACGUCCUCGUUCUUCUCGGGACCCCCGAA